rnacentral:misc_RNA from 1 species
GUCGAGUGGAGGGCGGUGGGAACUGCCGCCAGCAAUGAUGAAGAUGAUCGGUGAUGAGAUUCUUGAGAGGUUGAGAGGAGUGAAGGAUCAAUCCAAUGUAACUGAGCAACAAGAGGUGAUACAACUAUGGCGUAUUGAAAAACUGAAAGCACUCAAAAUGACAACAAUUUCAAAUUCCUCAUCAAAUUCAAGCACCGUGGCUCAAGAAGCAAAGAUGCUCGAAAGAUCCUUGG